AGGGGUAACAGAGAAAAGCUUGCUUUUUUGCUGACGACCGGCGCACGGGUGCGUAACGCGUAUGCAAUCUACCUUUUGCUAAGGGAUAGCCCAGAGAAAUUUGGAUUAAUACCUUAUAGUAUGAUGACUUGGCAUCAAGAUAUCAUUAAAGAUUACGGCAAAAGAUGAGCAUGCGUUCUAUUAGCUAGUUGGUGUGGUAACGGCAUACCAAGGCAACGAUAGAUAGGGGUCCUGAGAGGGAGAUCCCCCACACUGGUACUGAGACACGGACCAGACUCCUACGGGAGGCAGCAGUGAGGAAUAUUGGACAAUGGAGGCAACUCUGAUCCAGCCAUGCCGCGUGCAGGAAGACUGCCCUAUGGGUUGUAAACUGCUUUUAUACAGGAAGAAAUACCUCUACGUGUAGAGAUUUGACGGUACUGUAAGAAUAAGGAUCGGCUAACUCCGUGCCAGCAGCCGCGGUAAUACGGAGGAUCCAAGCGUCAUCCGGAAUCAUUGGGUU
rnacentral:rRNA from 1 species